rnacentral:lncRNA from 7 species
AAGCCCUCAGAAACAAACCACCUCCCUCUUUCCCCCCAAAACCCUACCCAACCUACCACAAAACCACCCCUCCCGACAAAAUCCUCCCUAAAACAAACACAAAGCUCCAAAACAGGACCGCGCUGUGUCGGGUAGGUGCGCCCGCUUGGAGCUGCAAGGUAACAGCCGUUUUGCUUUAAGGAUUGACUUCAGAAGCUUCAGUACGGCCAGGUCAAGUAAACUACUGAAAAACUACAUAAACACCAUAAAUCAGUCCUUCUGACCAACCACAGAACACCAGCAGCUGCUGAAGUCCUGGUGCAUAUAAACCUGUGGUGAAGUCAGCUUUCCACACUUCUGCAUACAAUUCUGAAGUGGAGCAUUUUAAGGAACCAAAAGAGACCACUCCUGACACUGGAACUUAGCAGGUUGAAGCAGCAGAAGAUCUGGGACUUCAGUAGGCAUACUUUGCUCUCAGUGACAGUGACUGUUUUUGUAUGUGUUAACCAGCACGCUUGCACUUGAAAGUCACGCUUACCUUUGUACUCUUCUUUCCUACAUGCAUGCUGUCUCUCCAAGGAAUUGCAUUGUCCUGUGUAUUAAUAUUACUUUCUUGCUCAGAUAUAGCACAAGUGUCAGGAAGAGCUGUUUAAGACUGGAAGUCAUAAUAGUUAGGAUAAGAGCUUAUUAAGUGAGAGCAUUUGCAAGGGAAAACUGGCUUAACUGGCUAAGAGAGACAGAGCGUUUUACAUAGAUUACUAAAAGAUAAGAAAAUAUCACUUGUUUACAUGGUGUCUUAAACUUCUAAGGAGAGAAUUGCAGGCUGGGUGACUAUUCAAUUCAGUGUUGAAUGGGGUGAUCCAUUCCACGUCUUUCAUCUUACUGGAUUCCUGGCAGAACAAGGUUUGUCUGUGUUCCAGGACUUUUCUAAUUCACAAUAUUAUUUUUUCAGCUGCUUCAGAGGCUUUCUGCAAAGAGAAAAAUACAUUUACUUAAAGAUUACUUGAUGUAAACAGGGAAUUUAAUGAGAAGCUUUUGCACUCACAUUAAUAGUGAAUCGUUGUUGACUUCAGUGAAGCUAUCUUUUUUUGUGCUAACUGUAAGCCUAAUGCCUUAUUUCUGUUCUAAACUUUUCUGGGGAUAGCUACACAUUUGUUCUGAUCCUGUUUUUCUAAGUGCUCCUUCCCAUGUCAUAUCAAAAAUGUUAAUACACACAGAUUCUUUGACUCUUUUAUUCUAAUUUGUAAACAUUCUUUUGCUUCAUUGAAAGUAGCCUUCAGAACUACUCAUGGCAAUUCAAAUGAAAUAAUUUGUUUCUUCCAUCUAUACUAACCAGUAAUUAGCCUUAGUACAUUCAUCUCAAUUACAAGUCUGCAGGAGUUCAUCAAGAUCUUCUGAUUGAUUCCUUUGCAUUGAUUGGUUAGAAUCACUGUCCUGAAGGAAAUGUAAUGAUGUGUAGUGCUGUAAAACAAAGUAGUCAACAUGUAUUCUUUGUUCAUUAUUUGUUACGGAUAGUACAGCCAGUUAAAACAGCAAUAACUGUAGAAAUUGUAAAGCAGAAUUAAGUAUCCCUACAAUAUAAUAGCAG